UACGUAGGGUGCAAGCGUUAUUCGGAUUCACUGGGCGUAAAGGGUGCGCAGGCGGCCAAGUGUGUUAGGCGUGAAAGCCCGAGGCUUAACCUCGGAAUUGCACCUAAAACUACAUGGCUAGAGUACUGGAGAGGGUAACGGAAUUCACGGUGUAGCAGUGAAAUGCGUAGAUAUCGUGAGGAACACCAGAGGCGAAGGCGGUUACCUGGACAGUUACUGACGCUCAGGCA
rnacentral:rRNA from 1 species